AAGUGACAACAGAGUACUUGAGGCACUGUGCAAGUAUGUUUCUUCACUGCAUCCAGCUUCUUCUGCCUUGUCUGCAUGAUCAACUCUUCCAUAGCUAUUGUCCCCCGAAGAUAAAAGAGUUGCCAUUAGGGCAGAGACUUCUAUUUGUUUUCUUUACCUGGAUGAACUGAACUGCAUCAUUACUCUCAUCCGGACACAGAGGCAAGUCAGCCCGCAGGACCAAGAGAGCCAGGUGCAGGCCUUCCUCCCCGAAGUGGUGAGCCAGGGCUGAUGCCACCGUGUCUCUCACCUGCUCCUUGCUCAGAGCACUGUGAGGGUAGCUUGGAGUGUCAAGUACUCGAACGCGGAGAGCCAGCUCGCAGCCAUUUCUUCGCAUAAUCCCCAAAAUGCGACAGCUGCGUCCAAGGCUACAGCAUGUAGUCACAGAGCUUGGGGAGCGACGGCUCUCAAAGUCUGAGCUGCCCAGCAGGCUGUUCCCAGAAGCACUCUUGCCAGUCUGAGUUUUUCCAAGGACAACAAGGUUGAUUGUCAUCUCAUUGGUGUCUGCCAUUGUCUAUGCUUUCUUUUAUCCACAAACCUGUCACUAAGUGAAGUACAAGUAAGGUGUUUAAGAUAACUUAAAAAAAAACCCAAACAAACAAACAAAAAACUCCCACAAAAAUUUCAAAAUUCAUUGUCUUUUGAGUGUUAUUCUCUGCCUGAAAUUUUUUCAGGAUUGUGGUGUAGAAUAAUAUUUAGUACAGGACAUACACCUCUGUCUGAUCAAAGGAUGGAUCUUCGCUGUCUUUCCCAGUCUGCUGCUGAGAAAUAAGAAGAUCCUGUGAAAGGUGUCACAGGUAGAAAAGCAACCUAACAGGCUUCACUCCUACACUGACAGAAACUGAAGAGCUAGGAAAGAAUCUGAUGUGAGAAGAGAUUUAGGAACAAGCAAAGCAGACAGAGCUAAGGAGAGGCAACAGAGAAGGGAGGAAUUGGGAAACAACUGUGGAAAAGAGUGUUGCCAUGCAGAGAGAGUAAUAGAUUAGGAAAAGGAGGAAAACUAGGGGAGGAAGAAGAGAAUGGUAACAAAUAGGUGCUGCUGUUAUUAAGUGACUACAUUUCAGGAUUUCCAUAUUUACUUGUUUUGGGAAAAAAAAUGGAUAAUCAGGGAGAAGUAGAGUUUAAAGAAGCGCUUCUUCAAAGCGGAGAACAGCUUUCAUCAGAGUAUGUCUUUCAUCAACUACCACUGAAGUUGAAAUAGACUAAUCUGAAAGGGCUUUCUGACACGGAUAAAUAUAAGUAUGUCACUGAAAAAAGAGAAGAGCUGAAAUAACCAAUGCUGCAGCUUCUAACCCUAUAUGAAAAUGAGAUGUUGAAAAUGUAUCCUACAUAGACUUAAUAACACAGUGGAAAAUGAAGACAUAGACUGGUGGAUGAAGAGUUGGCUGGGUAUAAUUUCCAGUUACUGUAAUUGUUCAUAAAUAAGACCUCUCAUUCUCUUUGUACCUUUCUGUAAUCCAGUAUCUGAAGGGGGUUUGGUGCAUAUUGAUCGACUAACAGGAAUACUGACUAUUUAAGUAAAUUCAGACAUGUUUCAAAAGGUAAAACCAUAGUGGCACUUGGUAGUUCAUUUUAAGUUUUUAGUGACAUCCAAACUUCAGAAAGAAUUUUUUAAUUAAGAUUCUAUUUUUAGGUGUUCAUAGAGAAAUCACGGAUAAUUUUAGACUGGGAUUUCCUGUGAUUAAUUCAUUUAGAUUCUUGCUGUGCAAUUUAAGCUUUCUCCCUCAAAUUAAAGCCAUGCCUAAAUCAAACUUUUGAAAUAAGUUCAGUACAAUGCCAAACAUGCAAGAGCUAGUAAUAUGCUAAUUUAGUUACAGGCGACUUUGAAUACUGUACAUGAUAAUCUUCCUUACUGAAUUCACAGUGUGAUUUUUGUGGAUUUUUCAAUGAUCAAUUUCCUUUUAAAAAAGACACCUUAUGAAAUGGUUAUCUUCAGUUAUUAAUCAGUUUAGAUGUGCAUUGUAUACUUUUUCUGUAGCAUAAUAAUAUGACUUGGUGGGCAUGCAUUUGUGCAUUCCUUUUUUAAAUUACAAUCAAAUAUUUGUUCUUUUUUCCUGUAAGCAGCCUACCCUUAAAUACUUAAAUUUCCAUAUUGUGUCACUUACCUUAUUUUCACUUAAAUUCUUCUUGCAAUCAGACUUCAUUCAUAAACCACAUGUGCAGUGUAAAAAGAAGUCCAUAUAUGAACUUUGAAACUAACAGCAGCAAUGUACCAUGCUGUGACUGUUACGUACACAUGAAUCUGGUUAAUCUAUUACUAAUAGAUCCUCAUUCAAUUGGAUAUAUUUGGUCAGUAAUUGGCACUGUUGAAUUUUUGCAAUUUAGCUACAGAUACCGUUUUUGCAGUUACUUUAGUGAUUGUAUGAUGAUAUUUUUGAAAGUUGCUUGAAUUCCACCAGCAUUUAAAUGUGCAAGUGAUAAUGGAGGUGGUGGAAUUACUUUGUAUUGCAUGUUCUGAAUGUGAAGAGUGUAUGCACUCUCUCUUAUUAUUGCAAUGAAUUAAUAAUAGCAAUAUUUUCAUAGCACAAGGUAAAUAAUUUGCAGACAUAAAGAUGUUUGCCUAACAAAGAUGGAUUAAAAUAAUAAAACAAGUAUUAAGAUACAGAAAUUAUUUGUGAAUCAGGAAGCAAACUGAGGGCUUGCACAACUGCCAGUCAUGUGCAUUAGCUGUUGGCUGGAUGGCCUAAUACAUUCCUCCUGCAAAUAUUGUUAUUUGCCACGCUGCGUUUGCCAGAGAGAAAAAGAUUGUCCAGAAAGGACCUAUCACUUGCUUUUUAGACAAUAUCCUACAAGUGGGUAAAUAACUGGUAAGAAAAUAAAUAGAUGGCUGUGUAAGUUUUUUUUUGCUGUAUGUUUUUAGGAGCAUGUAGACAAGUUGCUUUCAGACAGCACUCUGAUCUUGCGCCUGCCUAUUCUGGUGAUAGGUCAGACAUUAAAUCUUUUCUUGUAUUGUAAGUGUACUUGAGGCAACUACUGAUAGUUUCCACUGUGAAAAACCUUACAGCUCUAUGCUGUGCACAGCCUUUUUGUCUUAAGGCACAUUUAUAUAUGAAGUGUAUGGCUAGUGAAUACAAACUCAAGACUGGAUGAUGCUUCACUCCAUAGUGAAGCAAAAGGGUAGAUCAGUCUCAUAAAACUGGAUAUUGUGAGAUAAAAUCCACAUGCUUCCUUUAAUUUGCCUGUAAGUCUUGACUUUGGUUAAAUUGUCGGUCUAGCUCUGUACUUUUCAUUGGACUGUUCCUAUGCACAAUUUUAGGGAUAGGUACAAUUUCAAAAGAAUUUGUAACAGAAAGUUAGAACUCAAUUUCACUUAGGAAGACUGUAAAAUGCCUUCUCAAAUGGGUUAGAUGGGCGGUUUUUCCUUCUUUCAGAGAAAGCUGCAGGGAGAAGCUGUGAGCAAGCUAUCUCCCUGGUAUGCAGAGAGAUAACAUGUUUGCACACGUGUACAAGGCCUCCCCAGGCCAGAGAGAAUGGGGGAGGAGAGAGAGAAGAUACAAAAAGCCUUGGAGAAGGCGGAGCAUUGCCUUUUUCCACUGGGGGCCCGGUGUGUGCAGCAUCAUUAAGAAGUGAUCCUUGCAUCUGAAAUAAACUUUUUUAAAAUCCUUCCAGUGCCUUGGCAUUCUUGGGAAGAAUACCUUACAACGAUAAUGUCCCUCAUGACAUCUGAAGUGGUAUAUGUCCUAGCAGUCACAUUCAACUGAGCUAGUAGACUGCCAAGGAGAUAAUUUAAGUUGGUGUGGACAAGGAUUUAGACUACCAAGAGAGCUAGAAUCCCAGAAGCAGAGGAGUGUUGUAUACAAAAUACAGCUUGCCCAGCUGGAUGCAGAACUGGGGUUUUAUGAUGGUUAGAUGGCUGUAAAAUUAGGAGUAGUGUAAAUGAGGCACUACUUAAAUGAGACCUAAAACUUGGCUAAACAAACUUCACCACGAAAAAAAAAGGCAUUUCUUUCCAGUGUUAUUAUGUGUGUAAUACAGUCCGAGUUGGAACGCAUCUGGAAGGUCUUACAAGAGCACAGGCAGAGGAUUUUAAAAAGUUGUCUUCCUGGGAGGAUAUGACAGGGAAAAAAAAUCACACUGAUUUAUAUGGCACUUGCAUAAACUCCUCAAAUGUGGAAAAAGUCCUCCCCAAGGUGGCAGUAUCAGCCUGCUCCACAGGUACUAUAAAACUAAGCCGGGGUCCCCUUGCUCUGCAGUCCUAUGCUGAAAUAAAAUACCAGGUCAGAAGUGAGCUACGACAUUAAAAAACACAGAAUAAUUACAGGACUUUUCAAACAUCUCCUGAAAUAAGAAAUGUUGAAAACAUUUGUCUCACUUUUGUCAAAAGAAAUAUUUUUAUUUUACCUACAAAAUGCAGACACCUUAAUUAAUGAAUUUGAACAGCAGUAAUGGAAAGGUAGCAGUUAAGAAACAAAGUGUUAUUUACUGUUCCUUACAUGAUUCUUGUAAAUCAAGGCCUUUUGUUUUCUCUAGCUUUUAAGUUGAGCUAGUGACAAUUAUUAUGGGGCUUUAGAUAUGAGAUCUUAAAAUCUACUUAUUGUCAGAAUAUGAAUUUGCAAAGAACAAGUACAGAGUACAAUAAAAUUUCCUUGGAUGCUUUUUAGCACUGGUUGCUGCCAGUGAGUAAGCUAUUUUUUUGUUUGCUUUGUUUUUAUAUUACUUUAUUUUUGAAAUGGCAAAGAGAAAACCAAGAGUGAGCCUAUUAUGGAUUGGCAGACAGGAAGGAUUCUUGUAACUGAUAAAGGAAGCCUUAUACUCUUUCCAUGAAAAUACCAAGCAAGUCUAGAGAGGAAUCGUCAAGAAUCUGAGGAAGUAAGUUCCCUAAUCUAGUUGAAAAUGAGCAUCAUUUGUGUAUCCAGCAUCUUUAUUUGUCUUCAAAAAAACAAGACUAAAAUCAUUUGCGAGUAACCAUUAGUUUUGUAUCUGUCUACAGAAUUAACUAGAGUUGCAAUGCACUUUAGUCGCAGUAUUGUGUCAACUGCUGCUCUGUUGUAGUCCCUGUGAUCACCCAGUUGGUUUGCACACACCCUAAACAAGCUCUCCAUGAUGCUUGUUAGGGUACACCAAGCAGGCUAGAUCUUGUAAAACUGAAAUAGCAGAGUUUCUCUUUAGGCACAUGGUAUCUCUUACCAUGUGUCAUCUUUUAGUUCCCACGCCUUCCCAUCCCUUACAGCUUCUUUCCUGAUGUGGGCUCUCAUUUUAGCCCAAGAUGAUGCCAUAAUAAGUAAUUUAAGAUGUGCUUUGAUGAAUUUCUCUUACUUAGAGAAAACCCAGUGAGGCCAUUUUAUGGAUUGCCACACACAGAGGCAGGCUGUUAGCUUGCCCAAACAACAUGAGAAAUCCAGGAAGGUAUGCAGUCCAUGUAGUCAGUGUGGCUUCAGUUCUGUUAGAUGUGUAAUUUCUAAGAAACAGCAGGCACGUCACUGCUUAGAGAGAAAUAAGACAGAUCUAGUGAUGUUCUACUCCUUUUGGACUGCAUUCACACCAAAGCCUUCUGUGCUGAUUCUAAAGGAUGACACAUGUAAAGUAUACUAAAGUUUCCUUAAAACAGAUUAUUUUUUUUAGCUUUGCUUAAUGCAGUCCUCAGUAUCCAUAGUAAUUUUGAACAUAAGUAAUCAAUUAUCAGCAGUCUGCAAGAUUAUGUUUCUUUUUGCAGUAUAGGUGGUUGUGUAGGUUAUAUGCUACUACAUUGGCAUUGCUAAGGGGAAAGGAGGUGGGGUGUAGCUGCAGACUAAGGUUGCAAUUGCACCAGCUUUUGGCCAAUGUCUGUUUGUACAACUGUGGAAUCAGUCCCUCAGGUUCCUACUGUACUUCUUACAGCAGAUUAUGGGUUCAGGGCAAAUACUGCUGCAGAAAGGCAGAUCAAGGACCCGCUUUGUAUUUGAGAGGAAAUCGAAGAGAACUAUCUGAACAGUGAGAAUAUCAGUCAGACUUUUUUUCCUCUCUAUUCUCCAAAGGAAUCACCAAGAGCCACAAGAUAUCCUUGUCCUUCAUCCUCUGCAAAUAAUAGGCAACCUCAGGUUAGAAAGCAGUAUCUGACAUUCUGAUCUAGUAGGUCUCUGCUGUGGAAGUAGUGUGUGUCUUCAGUUGGCAGGAGUUAUAUUCUUCUAAGCACUCUGCUUCUCUGUGCACUUAGAACAGCACUGUAGCAAGCCACAGGAACACAGUCUCUUCUUGUUUCCUGUUAGAAUGGUUUGGUGUGACAUGGCUUUCCAAAAUGCUGGGGGAUGCAUUGUAAAGUAGGGCAUAUCACUUUCUGUUGCAGGCUGCCAGUUUCUUAAAUCUCCUGCUAGUCCCCUCUCCAGUUUAACUGAUGAUUUUCCCCAUGGCACUGUAUCAAUUUUUUUUUAAUAUGCAAAGAAUGUUUUUAACAUACCAUAUUGUGCUAUGUUGUCUCUUGAGCAGAUUACUGAGAGAUAUUCAAACUACCUUGUUUUCACCCAUACUGUCAUGAUAUGUUUUCUCUGGUAUAAAGUUGGAUGUAAGUCAGAAGUGUGCAGGUCUGGCUAUAGGGCUGUGCCAUGAGGCUGACAUGUUUGUGUCUGUUCACUACUUCAUGUGAAAUACGCAAAAUAUCCAAAGAAAUAAAGAUAAUAUUGCAAGUAAGAUUACAGGUAUGUAAAUAAUAUUUUUAAAACAACAACAAAAAAUCAGAAACUGUUGAUUUCAAAGGCAUAUAUUUGAGAAAGAAACAAUAAUCAGAAAGGAUGAAAAUACAGACUUAAGGAAGAAUCCUUUUUCCCUUACACAUAGUUAGAUGAACUCUGUGACUGGCCUCAUACAUCUUCUGUUGAGACAACCUGAGUCAUAUUCAUUCACUUUCUUGUGCUUAGCCUCAAAAUUUGUCCAUGUGUGUAAAAACAUUUUGCCCCUGGGACAAAAGUCCUGUGAAUGGUGAACAUAUUUGGAAGCUCGGGAAACCCAGUCUUGGCUGCUAUUUCUAUAACACUCAUUCCCUAAUUCUGAGAAGCUGCACAGUUUCUCAGUUUCCUCAUCUAAAUAAUACAGGGAGUAUUCAACUCUUUUGAAGAUGUGUAGUGGGAGUGAUUUAGCUGAAGGGAAUGGAUUUCUCUACAGCAAUAACAACAUCGCUUGCAUUUAAAAGAAAAAAAUGUAUUUUUAUCAUAUUGUACAAUGCUCUGUAGGGACCCAAAUGACUUAAGACAUACUUUCCAAAAAUAUUCCCAUGAUGCCUGGAAAGGGUAUAACCAUUGUAACACUAGUAAGCACAGAAGUUGCACUGAUGCACAAAGUUGAACUGGUCAUACUGCUACUCUUAUGCAUUCUAAUCCUCAAGAGAUAUGUCAUAGAAAGUCAGGAAUACAGAGUUUAUAAAGUUUAAACUCAAGGAUGUGUAAAAAUGAUAUAUCUCUACUCAAUAACAUGAAUAUCUGUGUGUAUUCAGGACAGAUUUAUUACUCAGUUCCUUCAUUUUCUUAUUUUCCAGGUUUUCCAGGCUGUUUGUAUUUCUAUGGAUACAACAUAUGUUGAGGACUUCUCUUAAAAUACCCAACUUGAUAUUUUUUAUAUUUAAUUCCUAUUAGGAAUCUCUCUUGUCUUCUCUUUGUAUACCUACUCUUUAGAGACGAUAUGCUCAAUUUUGAAGAGCAUUUUUUAAAGAAAUACAAGUUUGAGGAGCUGGACUACUGCUUAGAAAUACUACACUUUUGGUUUUAUUAAUCAUGAUUGCUUGUGAUAGCCUGCACAGAUGCUUUUUAUAUUUUAAAACAUUCCAAACAAGCUGAAUCUGAAGUCAACUUCCAAUAUAUUUCAUGAUGUCAAGCCCCUGAACAUGUAAUGCCAAGAAUUUAUCCUGUAAAAGUUGUCUUACAAGCCAGUGUGACUUGUUUUGGCAACACACUUGUUCAGAAAAGCGGAAUUGCUUCAGAUUGUUUAUUAAAAUUCUGAUGAGUAAAGGGGAAAAGUAUAUAGUUACAGAGCUGGUAUGUGGUUUGGGACUGGGAGCCCCAGAUUCGGUAAUUAACUCCAAUGCUUUAGCAUUCUAAUAUUAACUGUCACAAAAUACUGUGAAGCUGGAGCUUUUUAAAUUCAUGUCUUUUCUGUAUGAGGGGACAAAAGAAAAAAAAAUCCCCACCUGCCUUUCACGGUGGAAAGGAUUUAAGAAAUCAUAAUGUUUCCUCUCUUCAAUGCUGUGUGUUGUAGCAUCUGUAGUGUGCUAUGUUCAGGAACGUGUUACCUCUAUUAAUUGUGGAAAUGUGUCUAGGAUCUUUCAGGCCUUCAAGUGUGAUAGACUAUUACCUUAUUCAGUGGCUGGAAGUCUGUUAUUGAUGCAAAAUAUAGAGCUGCAUCACCACUUGUUCUCCUGAAAUUAAAGGUUUUUAGGUAUAGAAAAGAAAAGUCUGUACAAAUGCUGCAGAGCUGAAGCCUAGUUACAUACAUAACUAUGAGCAAUGGAAGACACACUUGAGCUUCAGAUACAUCAGAGGGCUGAGAAGUUGCAGGUUGAUUGGACUUUUCUCUGGAUUCCUCCAUGGUUUUACAUCACUGCUUGGCAGACUUCAUCAUCUGCACACAGUGGAAGCCGUCUGCUGAGUAUCUUCAGAUAAAAUAGCCCGAGCUAUAGCACUCUGCAUGGCACACAGAAAAUGUGAAGCCAGAUCCUUCUGAUGUCAUAUACCUUUGAAUAAGUCACCAAAAUUUAAAAGCUGGAAAAGUUAAGGGUAUUAAUGAUACCCAAGGAAACAAAUAGGGACUAGAAGAAAGUUUUCGGAAGUCAAUUUACAUUAUUUAUUUUAUUUUGAUUUUUUUGUUAUUUUUUUCCCUUGAGGUCUACAAACCAGUUUGCCACUACAAAUUCAAUGAAUGCACUCUUCAGGUCCUCAAAGUCUUGAUGUAGACACCUUCUCCUUCCACCUACUUCCCUCCCCAUCUAGACUUUGCUUGUUUCCUUCUUCAUGUGGCUGUCUUUCCAACCAGAAAGAGUUGGGUGCAACUUCUGUCCAUUCAAUUCCUUAGUUGAGAGCAGCCUCUGCACUUCCGAAGAAAGUUUUUGGGGUGUUUUUUUUGUUUCUUUUUUUCCCCACUAUCAGACAUCUGGCAUCCUGGAAAAAGUUUUCCUGAUGGUGCUUCCAGUCCUGAUGCAAAUCUGGGCUCCCUGUACAGAGUGGGAUAACGUGUCAGAAGGGAAGACUGAUGAUUACGUGGCCUGACAAACCAACUAUCAAAUUCAUAGACUCUGAUAAAGUAAGUGAAAGUAUUGUCUCCCCUUCCUGUAGUCAGCUGUGGUUUUUAUCCAAAUAGUUAAGCCUCUGAUGUAUUUUACAAUACAGCACACUAAACCAUGAGACGAGUUUAAAAUGUGGCAUCAUGCUGUGAAGAACUACUGUGGCAGAGAUGAGAAUAUUCCAUCUGUAGCACAAUGCAAAUGCAGCACUGCUGGUGGAAAUUCAACUAUAAAUCACUCUCAUGCAAUGUUCAAUAGGCCUUUUCUCAGAACAGAGGUGUACAGGGGACAUCUCUGUAUAGCAGAGACCAAACUAUGAGUCCCAGAAAGUUCUAUUUCCCAGUUAAGUAAACCAAUAAAAAUAAUUCAGGGAUUCAAGUGAAGCUUAGUUUUGAUUUGGAAAAAACCCGAAACUUAUGUAGUGAAUUUCUGUUUCUACAUUAUCUUCCCUGUAGCUCAAACAGUGCUUGCCUAUUGUCAACAGCUAAGAUUUUACAAAAUUUUUCUUUAGAGUCAGCAUAAAAUCAUCAACGGGCCAUGAAGAGCAAACAAGAGUAGUAUUUUUUUCAGUCUACACCCACAUUUCUUUCCUUAGAAAUGGCAUUUGUCUCAGAUGAGAGAAAGGAUUCAUUUGAAAAAAAAAAAAAGAUGGAAACUGUAAUGCGGGAACAAAAACUUUUGGCUGUCAGCAUUUCCGUAACCUCACAUGACCCAAUUUUCAUGUCUUAAUUUAUCAUCUUGGUGUAAAGAGAAAACAUGGUUUUGUUUUGCUUGUUUCAGAUUUGAAUAACUGGAUGAUUAUAUAUAAAUUUACAGCAUUUGUGCAGAAGAUGUGUUGGGUUUAACAUCUGUCAGAGAGCUGCAUCUUAAAUUGCUUUUCGUGAUCAUCUUUUGGCUGUUAUUUUCUGGAUAAUUUGUGACUUCUAACUGGUUUAGAGAAUUCUUAUUCUAGCAAAAGGAUAAAUCCAGCCUGAGUCAAGAAAGUAGUCUCUCUUUAACAUGUAUACAGCUAGAAUUCAGUGGCUAAAUUAUCUGUUUUCUUAGAAAAGAUAAACUAGUGACAACAUUCAACAGUUAGCUGAGUUUUGGUGCUUCCCGAGGGGGCUCUGAAGGCCUAUAGUGAAGACCUAUGAAAUGUAUCUUAAACUAAGUUGCAACAGAGGGACAGUCUUAAACAAAUGAUAAAGGAGAAAUCUUUCUUUUAAUUAGAAGUCCAUGUGUAGCGAUUUGGUACGUCUUUGAUACCAUCACUUAAGCUGUUUGGGUAUAAAAUAGGUUGUCUUCUGGCAAGAUGUGAGAGAGUUCACUGGAGCCUGGAAAAAUGUCUUCAGUCUUUCUGUAAGACCCCCAAGGACAGAUUUUUUUGCCAUAUUUAUUCACUGAACACUUAACUUCAUUGUAGACACUUUCUCAAAAAUUUUAUGAAGAGCUUCUUAGAGCUGAAAUUCUUUAUCUGCCAUUAGCACCAGAGUUCCACAGGCAGCCCAUGGAGCUGUCAGGCUUUGCAAAUGGAUGUGUCAGGAAAGGCAGAUGUGCUAAAGCAUGAGAAAUCAUUAAAUAGAAGGAGCUUGCAAAAAAGGAGUCUACUUUAGUAGAUGGGAGAUUCAGUGACUGUAUGAAAUAUGCACUAUAUCAUGCUGACUAGUGCUGCAGUGUUCAAUACUGGUCCACAAAAUUUGGUGUGCUGUCUCCAUCCCCAUGAUAUUCACUGCCAUGGAAGACUCGACUUGUGGACUCUGGCAGCUGAAAAGAGGAGCUACACAGAUGACUUCACACUGUUUAGAAUACAAAUUUCUGUAUUUGGGGAAUAUUAUGGAAUUGCUAACAAAUUAGUCUUUUUUAAUCGUAGUGGCAUGUAUGCAUUUCCUGUCCCAACAUGUACAUGACUAUUCAUAGCACACCAAAACAGUUGCAGAUUAUUUUUUUGCCUUUGAAUACAAACAGCAUGAAGAAAAAUUAUUUUCUAGACAUCAAAGAAAAUUAAGUCAUAAUGACCAAGGACAAAAAACUGAGCAAAAAUCUAAAUAUUGGCCUGUUUUAUGCCAUUUAAUGAUAUCAAGACCAGCUAUUAAAGGAAGGCAAAGAGAGGAAAAAGAAAGGGGAGAUGGCCCACAGUUUGAAUUUAAUCAUAGACAAAAAGUAAAUUGUAAUUUGGACUGUAAUGUGGUGAAAAUAGCCUAUUUGGACCUUAAUACAAGGAGGAUGUGGUAAUUCAGACUCUCAUUUCGAUAAGACAUAUUGGGUACUAAAGUCUGCCCUUGCACAUAAAUGAUUUUUAUUUAUAGUGUUUCACCUUUCAGAUUUCUUGGAUCUGAACAUAUCUAACCUUAUUGAAAUACGAAUCUAGACAUUGGAGCCGCUUAGCUGCAGCUAUGUCAACAGUGUAACACAGCAAACCAACGGUUUAGAGUGAGAAGUUAAAUAUAUUAGAGGAAACUGGGGAAUUGCAGCGGCAGCGGGUAAUUUCUUACAUGGAAUAUUGCCAAGGAAUACCACAUACCUGAUGGCAAAAAUGUCAUGUGAGCAUGCCUCUCUUACUCCUUCUUCUCCAAUACUGGGUUUACACAGCAUAAAACAAAGAAAAAAAAGAA